rnacentral:lncRNA from 1 species
CAUCCCGAACUAUUCUAACACAUCCUAUCUAACUCAGCCUGGCUGCUUAACCCCAAAUUAAAUUAUAACAAUACAGAAUCCUCACCAAAAAGCUUUUUAAAAUAUAUUACUUAUAUUUUUUGAUAUUAUAUAAAUAUUCAAGAUGUAACAAAUAUAUAAUCGAUAUGAGACUAAAUAGAUAUUCACAUGGAUCUUUACGUAUUUUUUUCAUUUAAAUUUUGAGUUCUUUAUUAGGAUAAAAAUUUAAAUCUAUUUAAAUAUAAUCGCAAAUAUCAUGAUUAACCUACGCCAAUUCAAAUAGGCAUGUCGAUCCAUACUGUAGUGCCUUCUAAUCUACAUGUGCCAUUAUCUAGUCCGUUCUAAUAUUAUUUAUCAUGAUCCAUAAUUUUAUUUAAAAAUAUUAAUUAAAAAUAUUAUUAAAUUUUUUAAUUUUAUAUAAAUAUUUAACAUCCAUCUACUAUAUACGCAUUGUCAGAUUAAACAUAUAUGUCUAUAUGGAUUCUUGCAUGGGUGUAAAUGUGUGGUUCCUAAUUACAGGACAU